GACGAAGGGGGCUAGCGUUGUUCGGAAUUACUGGGCGUAAAGCGCGUGUAGGCGGUUAUCCAAGUCAGGUGUGAAAGCCUUGAGCUCAACUCAAGAAAUGCACUUGGUACUGGGUGACUAGAGGACCGGAGAGGAUAGUGGAAUUCCCAGUGUAGUGGUGAAAUACGUAGAGAUUGGGAAGAACACCAGUGGCGAAGGCGGAUCUCUGGGCCUGUCCUGACGCUCAGGCGCGAAAGCUAGGGGAGCGAGCAGG
rnacentral:rRNA from 1 species